UACGAAGGGUGCAAGCGUUACUCGGAAUUACUGGGCGUAAAGCGUGCGUAGGUGGUUCGUUAAGUCUGAUGUGAAAGCCCUGGGCUCAACCUGGGAAUGGCAUUGGAUACUGGCGACCUAGAGUGCGGUAGAGGGGUGUGGAAUUCCCGGUGUAGCAGUGAAAUGCGUAGAUAUCUGAAGGAACAUCAGUGGCGAAAGCGACUUCCUGGACCAAUACUGACGCUCAUGUGCGAAAGCGUGGGGAGCAAACAGG
rnacentral:rRNA from 1 species